CCCCCCCCUCCCCUCCUUCUACGGAAAUGUGACUGGAGUGCAUUUGCAUCCGGGGGAUGUUUAAUUUUCCGCUGUGAUCAUUUUGCAUUGCGGAGCAUUAAUUGCGAAAAGAGUAGUAAUAAUAAUAAACAACGCCGUAGAACAUCUGCUGCUUUUCAAAUGCGGCUGACGCCGGAGUUAUAUCUCUGAGAAGGAUGAGUAUAGCGCUUUUGCUUUUGCUUUCUUGCGAUAAAAACAAAGUCCCCUAUAGACGGAGGGCAACGUCUGUGACCGGUCCGAUUCAAGAGACGAUUCACGGAGACGGGUCGAGAUUUUGUCGACCCGUGACAAAAUGGAGAGGAGAAGAGAGAGCCGGAGUACAAAAUGGAAACCAGGAAGAUGAUUGAGUAGCCAGAGACGCAGUUAACGACAGUCAAUAAAACAUUUCUGGCUUUAAGAGCAAAGGCUCUCAUUUGUAUGAUAAUCCUGAGCUGUGCUCAAACACCCCACUGAGAGCGACAUGUCUUCCAGGAGGCCGCAAUGCAGCCAGCAAUUUAAACACACAGACCUGGGGAUGGAUGUUUCUGCAACAGGUGGCCCGUAGUGAUGGACUCUGUGUGUGUGUGUGUGUGUGUGUGUGUGUGAGAGAGAGCGAGAGAGAGCUUGCAGUCAGACAGGAGCCAGGCUUUCCACAGAGACCGAUAGACGUUGAUCGAUAUCCUCAAGCACCUGACGAGCUCGUGAUUCUGCAACGAUAGUGAAUGGAGUGCCUGCCGUAACGAGAGAGAAAGAGAGAGACAGCAAGAGAGAGAGACGACCAGCACGGAGCCGUGUGUGUGUGCGUGCGUGCGUGUGUCAUCGAACGAGUCCGCUGAAAAGCAAAAGGAAAAAUAAAGAGAAUAAAAAGGCCUUUUGAGUUGUC